rnacentral:rRNA from 1 species
AUGGGUCGCAUGCGCUAUGCUGCCGAUGAUGAUGCCGGUAAUGGGAGCAGCAGCAGCGACACUGGCUACAGCCAAAGCAGCAGCGGCUAUGACUGUAGCGAAAGCAGCAACGAUUCUGGCUGUAGCGAAAGCAGCAGCAAUUCUGGCAGCAGCAUAGACAACAAGAAGGAUGAUCCGGACUGGAAUGCGGGAGAAGAGGAGCAGAGUGAGGAUGAGGAGCUGCAGGAUGACGAUGGGCAUCAGGCUGAGGAUGACCUAGCGCUGGUGGUGGCUGACCAAGGGCAAGAGAUGGUGGUGGCUGACCAUGGGCAAGAGAUGGAGGUGGCUGAGGAUGACCUAGCGAUGGUCGUGCCUGAAGGUGGCCUCGCGAUGGUGGUGGUGCCUGACAAUGACCACGCACCGGUGGUGGCGCCGGCGAUCCCACAGCUGGGCGACAUGACCACGCCAAUUGUGGUAGAAGACUACAUCCCACUGCCUCCACUGCCUCCACCGCCUCGCCGCUCUAGGCACAUCAGGGAGAGGAAGGAGAAGAAUGAGAAGAACAAUGCAUGA